rnacentral:rRNA from 1 species
AUUGAACGCUGGCGGCAGGCCUAACACAUGCAAGUCGAGCGGAUGAAGGGAGCUUGCUCCUGUAUUCAGCUGCGGACGGGUGAGUAAUUCCUAGGUAUCUGCCUGGUAGUGGGGGAUAACGUCCGUUAACGGGCGCUAAUACCGCAUACGUCCUGAGGGAGAAAGUGAUGGAUCUUCGGACCUCACGCUAUCAGAUGAGCCUAGGUCGUAUUAGCUAGUUGGUGAGGUAAAGGCCUACCAAGGCGACGAUCCGUAACUGGUCUGAGAGGAUGAUCAGUCACACUGGAACUGAGACACGGUCCAGACUCCUACGGGAGGCAGCAGUGGGGAAUAUUGGACAAUGGGCGAAAGCCUGAUCCAGCCAUGCCGCGUGUGUGAAGAAGGUCUUCGGAUUGUAAAGCACUUUAAGUUGGGAGGAAGGGAAGUAAGUGAAUACGUUCCUGUUUUGACGUUACCAACAGAGUAAGCACCGGCUAACUUCGUG